rnacentral:rRNA from 1 species
UGGGUAGUCCGCACGAGCGCACCUUACUUUUAGUUGCUACCAUUUAGUUGGGCACUCUAAAAGAACUGCCAGUGAUAAGCUGGAGGAAGGUGGGGAUGACGUCAAGUCCUCAUGGCCCUUAUGUGUUGGGCUACACACGUGCUACAAUGGUAUUUACAGUGGGAUGCAAAGAGGCAACUCCAAGCCAACCCUCAAAGAAUACCUCAGUUCGGAUUGUACUCUGCAACUCGAGUACAUGAAGCUGGAAUUACUAGUAAUCGCGGAUCAGCGCGCCGCGGUGAAUACGUUCCCGGGUCUUGUACACACCGCCCGUCACACCAUGGAAGUUGGUUACACCUUAAGGCAAAGUGUAAAACCUUUGACUACGGUACGAUCAGCGACUGGGGUGAAGUCGUAACAAGGUAGCCGUAGGGGAACCUGCGGCUGGAUCACCUCCUUUCU